GAUGAAGAACGCAGCGAAACGCGAUAUGUAAUGUGAAUUGCAGAAUUCAGUGAAUCAUCGAAUCUUUGAACGCACAUGGCGCCUUCCAGUAUCCUGGGAGGCAUGCCUGUCCGAGCGUCGUUUCAACCCUCGAGCCCCCGUGGCCCGGCGUUGGGGAUCUGCCCAGGCAGUCCCCGAAAACCAGUGGCGGACCCGUUACAGGCCCUUCCCUUGCGUAGUAGCAUUCGCCUCGCAUCGGGAGCCGGCGGGCUUCCAGCCUCUAAACCCCCAUCAAGUCCGCCCCGGCGGCACCAAGGUUGACCUCGGAUCAGGUAGGAAUACCGGCUGAACUUAAGCAUAUCAAUAAGCGGAGGA
rnacentral:misc_RNA from 1 species